GACGAACGCUGGCGGCGUGCUUAACACAUGCAAGUCGAACGGAAAGGCCCUGCUUUUGUGGGGUGCUCGAGUGGCGAACGGGUGAGUAACACGUGAGUAACCUGCCCUUGACUUUGGGAUAACUUCAGGAAACUGGGGCUAAUACCGGAUAGGAGCUCCUGCUGCAUGGUGGGGGUUGGAAAGUUUCGGCGGUUGGGGAUGGACUCGCGGCUUAUCAGCUUGUUGGUGGGGUAGUGGCUUACCAAGGCUUUGACGGGUAGCCGGCCUGAGAGGGUGACCGGCCACAUUGGGACUGAGAUGCGGCCCAGACUCCUACGGGAGGCAGCAGUGGGGAAUAUUGCACAAUGGGCGGAAGCCUGAUGCAGCAACGCCGCGUGCGGGAUGACGGCCUUCGGGUUGUAAACCGCUUUCGCCUGUGACGAAGCGUGAGUGACGGUAAUGGGUAAAGAAGCACCGGCUAAGUACGUG
rnacentral:rRNA from 1 species